rnacentral:rRNA from 1 species
AAUAGAUACCCUGGUAGUCCACGCCCUAAACGAUGUCUACUAGUUGUCGGGGGGUAACUCCUUCGGUAACGCAGCUAACGCGUGAAGUAGACCGCCUGGGGAGUACGGUCGCAAGAUUAAAACUCAAAGGAAUUGACGGGGACCCGCACAAGCGGUGGAUGAUGUGGAUUAAUUCGAUGCAACGCGAAAAACCUUACCUACCCUUGACAUGCCACUAACGAAGCAAAGAUGCAUUAGGUGCCCGAAAGGGAAAGUGGACACAGGUGCUGCAUGGCUGUCGUCAGCUCGUGUCGUGAGAUGUUGGGUUAAGUCCCGCAACGAGCGCAACCCUUGCCAAUAGUUGCUACGAAAGGGCACUCUAUUGGGACUGCCGGUGACAAACCGGAGGAAGGUGGGGAUGACGUCAAGUCCUCAUGGCCCUUAUGGGUAGGGCUUCACACGUCAUACAAUGGCUGGUACAGAGGGUUGCCAACCCGGCGAGGGGGGAGCCAAUCCCACAAAACCAGUCGUAGUCCGGAUUGCAGUCUGCAACUCGACUGCA